rnacentral:rRNA from 1 species
GAAGGUUUUCGGAUCUGUAAAGCUCUGUUGUUGGGGAAGAACAAGUGCGAGAGUAACUGCUUGUGCCUUGACGGUACCUAACCAGAAAGCCCCGGCUAACUACGUGCCAGCAGCCGCGGUAAUACGUAGGUGGCAAGCGUUGUCCGGAAUUAUUGGGCGUAAAGGGCUCGCAGGCGGUUUCUUAAGUCUGAUGUGAAAGCCCCCGGCUCAACCGGGGAGGGGCAUUGGAAACUGGGAAACUUGAGUGCGGAAGAGGAGAGUGGAAUUCCACGUGUAGCGGUGAAAUGCGUAGAGAUGUGGAGGAACACCAGUGGCGAAGGCGACUCUCUGGUCUGUAACUGACGCUGAGGAGCGAAAGCGUGGGGAGCGAACAGGAUUAGAUACCCUGGUAGUCCACGCCCUAAACGAUGAGUGCUGAAUGUUAGGGGGUUUCCGCCCCUUAGUGCUGCAGCUAACGCAUUAAGCACUCCGCCUGGGGAGUACGGUCGCAAGACUGAAACUCAAAGGAAUUGACGGGGGCCCGCACAAGCGGUGGAGCAUGUGGUUUAAUUCGAAGCAACGCGAAGAACCUUACCAGGUCUUGACAUCUCCUGACCACCCUAGAGAU